UACGGAGGGAGCUAGCGUUGUUCGGAAAUACUGGGCGUAAAGCGCACGUAGGCGGCGCAGCAAGUCAGGGGUGAAAUCCCGGGGCUCAACCCCGGAACUGCCCUUGAAACUGCAGUGCUAGAAUCUUGGAGAGGCGAGUGGAAUUCCGAGUGUAGAGGUGAAAUUCGUAGAUAUUCGCAAGAACACCAGUGGCGAAGGCGGCUCACUGGCCCGAUACUGACGCUGAGGUGCGAAAGCGUGGGGAGCAAACAGG
rnacentral:rRNA from 1 species